rnacentral:snRNA from 11 species
AUACUUACCUGACAGGGUAUCAUGAUCAGAGAGGCAGUUUUCCCAGAGCAAGUUUGGUCCAUUGUACUCUGAGUGUACUGAGGUUUCCCCAAAUGAGGGAAGCUCGACUGCAUAACUUGUCUAAUCUACAGUCAUGUUCCU